UACUUUCUUGGAGUAAACAGUCAAU
rnacentral:piRNA from 1 species